AUUGAACGCUGGCGGCAUGCCUUACACAUGCAAGUCGAACGGCAGCACGGGAGCAAUCCUGGUGGCGAGUGGCGAACGGGUGAGUAAUAUAUCGGAACGUGCCCAGUAGUGGGGGAUAGCCCGGCGAAAGCCGGAUUAAUACCGCAUACGACCUGAGGGUGAAAGGGGGGGAUCGCAAGACCUCUCGCUAUCAGAGCGGCCGAUGUCGGAUUAGCUAGUUGGUGGGGUAAAGGCCCACCAAGGCGACGAUCCGUAGCUGGUCUGAGAGGACGACCAGCCACACUGGGACUGAGACACGGCCCAGACUCCUACGGGAGGCAGCAGUGGGGAAUUUUGGACAAUGGACGCAAGUCUGAUCCAGCCAUGCCGCGUGCGGGAAGAAGGCCUUCGGGUUGUAAACCGCUUUUGUCAGGGAAGAAAUCUUCUGGACUAAUACUCUGGGAGGAUGACGGUACCUGAAGAAUAAGCACCGGCUAACUACGUGCCAGCCGCCGCCGUAACAC
rnacentral:rRNA from 1 species